rnacentral:snoRNA from 1 species
AUUGGGAAAUGAUGAAUAGAUUUAUCCUACACGCUGAAUAUCCGUGUUGAUUAAUAUCUCCGCUUAUUGUCUGAUUCCAUU